rnacentral:tRNA from 3 species
GGAUGGUUAGCUCAGCUGGGAGAGCAUCGCCCUUACAAGGCGAGGGUCACUGGUUCGAGCCCAGUACCAUCCACCA